rnacentral:rRNA from 1 species
GAUGAACGCUGGCGGCGUGCCUAAUAUAUGCAAGUCGAACGCACAGCGAAAGGUGCUUGCACCUUUCAAGUGAGUGGCGAACGGGUGAGUAACACGUGGACAACCUGCCUCAAGGCUGGGGAUAACAUCUGGAAACAGAUGAUAAUACCGAAUAAAACUCAGUGUCGCAUGACACAAAGUUAAAAGGCGCUUUGGCGUCACCUAGAGAUGGAUCCGCGGUGCAUUAGUUAGUUGGUGGGGUAAAGGCCUACCAAGACAAUGAUCCAUAGCCGAGUGGAGCGCCUGAUCGGCCAAAUUGGGACUCGGAAACGGCCCAAACUCCUACGGGAGGCUGCAGUAGGGAAUCUUCCACAAUGGGCGAAAGCCUGAUGGAGCAACGCCGCGUGUGUGAUGAAGGCUUUCGGGUCGUAAAGCACUGUUGUAUGGGAAGAACAGCUAGAAUAGGGAAUGAUUUUAGUUUGACGGUACCAUACCAGAAAGGGACGGCUAAAUACGUGCCAGCCGCCGCCGUAA